rnacentral:rRNA from 1 species
UACAGAGGCCACGAGCGUUAGUCGGAAUCACUGGGCUUAAAGGGUGCGUAGGCGGGUCUGCAAGCGUUUUGUGAAAGCCCCCGGCUCAACCGGGGAACAGCAGAGCGAACUGCGGAUCUUGAGGCAAGUAGGCGCGGGAAGAACAGUCGGUGGAGCGGUGAAAUGCGUAGAUAUCGACUGGAAUGCCGAUGGUGAAGACGUCCCGCUAGGCUUGUCCUGACGCUGAGGCACGAAAGCGUGGGGAGCAAACAGG